CGAAUGGGUCCAAAAGACUCUUAAAAAACCUACCGCGCCCCCCUACGUGGAAAAACAGGAAAGCCCUCCGGGGCAUAGGAAAAUCUGAGAAGUUGAGAAACUGCGCCCCGGCGCAUGACUAAAAACAAAAAAAUUA
rnacentral:misc_RNA from 1 species